rnacentral:rRNA from 1 species
AGGUAUGAUCAUAGCAGCAUUAAUGCAUUGAAUCUCGUUAAAACUCACAAUUAAGCUUGCUUUGCAAGAAUAGUACUAGGAUGUACGACCUCCUCAGAAGUCGUUGUGUUGCACAUC